GACGAACGCUGGCGGCGUGCUUAACACAUGCAAGUCGAACGGAAAGGCCUUUUCGGCGGUACUCGAGUGGCGAACGGGUGAGUAACACGUGGGUGAUCUGCCCUGCACUCUGGGAUAAGCCUGGGAAACUGGGUCUAAUACCGGAUAGGACCGCACUUUAGUGUGUGUGGUGGAAAGUUUUUUCGGUGUAGGAUGAGCCCGCGGCCUAUCAGCUUGUUGGUGGGGUAAUGGCCUACCAAGGCGGCGACGGGUAGCCGGACUGAGAGGUUGGUCGGCCACAUUGGGACUGAGAGACGGCCCAGACUCCGACGGGGGGCAGCAGUGGGGAAGAGUGCACAAUGGGCGCGAGCCGGAUGCAGCGACGCCGCGUGGGGGAUGACGGCCUUCGGGUUGUAAACGCCUUUCGCCAGGGACGAAGCGUUUUGUGACGGUACCUGGAGAAGAAGCACCGGCUAACUACGUG
rnacentral:rRNA from 1 species